rnacentral:rRNA from 1 species
UAGGGAAUCUUCGGCAAUGGGGGGAACCCUGACCGAGCAACGCCGCGUGAGUGAAGAAGGUUUUCGGAUCGUAAAGCUCUGUUGUUAAGGAAGAACGAGUGUGAGAAUGGAAAGUUCAUGCUGUGACGGUACUUAACCAGAAAGGGACGGCUAACUACGUGCCAGCAGCCGCGGUAAUACGUAGGUCCCGAGCGUUGUCCGGAUUUAUUGGGCGUAAAGCGAGCGCAGGCGGUUAGAAAAGUCUGAAGUGAAAGGCAGUGGCUCAACCAUUGUAGGCUUUGGAAACUGUUUAACUUGAGUGCAGAAGGGGAGGGUGGAAUUCCAUGUGUAGCGGUGAAAUGCGUAGAUAUAUGGAGGAACACCGGUGGCGAAAGCGGCUCUCUGGUCUGUAACUGACGCUGAGGGUCGAAAGCGUGGGGAGCGAACAGG